rnacentral:rRNA from 1 species
AUCAUGGCUCAGACGAACGCUGCGGCGUGCUUAACACAUCAAGUCGACGAGACUUUCCGUAUUAWAUGGUAUUUCUACCGGCGGACGGGUGAGUAACACGUGGGUACCUGCCUCGAAGUGAGAAUAGCCUCCCGAAAGGGAGAUUAAUACCUCAUAGUAUUAUUUUUCGCAUGAAAGAUUAAUUAAAGAAUUUAYUCGCUUCAAGAUGGACCCSCGGCGCAUUAGUUAGUUGGUGAGGUAAUGGCUCACCAAGCCAAUAAUGCGUAGCCGACCUGAGAGGGUGAUCGSCCACAUUGGAACUGAGACACGGUCCAAACUCCUACGGGAGGCAGCAGUGGGGAAUAUUGCACAAUGGGCGAAAGCCUGAUGCAGCAACGCCGCGUGAGUGAUGAAGGCUUUCGAGUCGUAAAGCUCUUUGAUCAGGGACGAUAAUGACGGUACCUGAGAACAAGCCACGGCUAACUACGUGCCAGCAGCCGCGGUAAUACGUAGGUGGCAAGCGUUGUCCGGAAUUAUUGGGCGUAAAGGAUGCGUAGGUGGAUAUUUAAGUGGGAUGUGAAAUCCCUGGGCUCAACCCAGGAAUUGCAUUCCAAACUGGAUAUCUUGAGUACAGUAGAGGAAAGCAGAAUUCCUAGUGUAGAGGUGAAAUUCGUAGAUAUUAGGAGGAAUACCAGUGGCGAAGGCGGCUUUGUGGWCUAUAACUGACGCUGAGGCAUGAAAGCGUGGGUAGCAAACAGGAUUAGAUACCCUGGUAGUCCACGCCGUAAACGAUGGGUACUAGGUGUAGGAGGUAUCGAACCCCUUCUGUGCCGUCGUUANCACANUUAAGUACCCCNCCUGGGGAGUACGGCCGUAAGGMUUAAACUCAAAGGAAU